rnacentral:rRNA from 1 species
UUGCAGGCUGCAACCCGCCUGCAUGAAGUUGGAAUCGCUAGUAAUCGCGGAUCAGCAUGCCGCGGUGAAUACGUUCCCGGGCCUUGUACACACCGCCCGUCACACCAUGAGAGUCGGGAACACCCGAAGUCCGUAGCCUAACCGCAAGGGGGGCGCGGCCGAAGGUGGGUUCGAUAAUUGGGGUGAAGUCGUAACAAGGUACC